UUUAAAUUGAUAUUUAUAUAAUAAAUCACUGAGGGUGAAAAAUAUGUAAGAAGCUCUAUCAUCAAAUUCUUAGGUUUUUAAAAUCUAACACUACCCUCUGUUAAAUUGGUUUAAGAAAAACAUUGUUUAUAAAUUAUGUGUAUGAUGCAUUGUUGAGAAUGUUGUUAGAAUUAUUUUUUU
rnacentral:sRNA from 1 species